CCUGACACACACACACACACACACACACACACACACACACACACACACACACACACACACACACACACACACACACACACACACACACACACACACACACACACACACACACACACGUUAACGUGUGGCAUGAAGACAGAAUAAGUUUGUGUUUUCCUUUCCGUGUGGUUUUGUACUUUUCUCUGCGGAGCUGCAACAGCAGGCAGGACAAGGCCUCGGGAUGUUCUGCAAACACAACCACACAAACAAAACAGUCAGAAAAACACACACAAGCCGUUUGAUUUCCUGUGUGUGUGUGUGUGUGUGUGUGUGUGUGUGUGUGUGUGUGUACCUUUGUAUUUGAGGUGUUGCAGGAUGGGGAUGAUGGUUUCCAGAGGGAUGCUGUGAGCCAGAAACAACUGCCAGGUGCUGUACUGCUCAAACGUCUCCCAGUCCAGAGACUGGACUGUUCACACGAGGAGGAGGAGGAAGAGGAAGAGGAAGAAGACAGAUCUUUGUACGUUGAAGUGGAGUUACCUGAGUGGAGUCGAUGACGGCGACGAUCAUGUUGAGCAGCUCCCCACUUCUCAACGUCUCAUCUGGAAACUGAAGCAGGCCAUGAGAGGUGAGUGUGUGUGUGUGUGUGUGUGUGUGUGUGUGUGUGUGUGUGUGUGUGUGUGUGUGUGUGUGUGUGUGUGUGUGUGUGUGUGUGUGUACCUCAGAGUAUAUGGAGGGGGUGAGGUAGCAGAGCAGGCGGAUGUCGUCCUCCUGACACGCCUUCAUGUCCAUCAUCAGACACGUGUGUAGGUCGCCAAGAGCUGUCGCCUGAGCAAACGACUCGUACAGCAUCAUCUUCCCGUUUGCCGCUUUACUGUUGACACAAACACAAAUGGGCGGUUUAGUGCCGUUUGACAUCACGUGUGACAGCACGUGUGACACGGCGCGGGUCGUCUCACCUGGCUUUGAGGUAGUACAGCAGGUGGUAACCAAUCUUGGGUUGUUUCUGGUAAAGUUCCGCCAACAUCUCGAGCAGAACCGAGAAGCCGCUGUUGUCUUCCUGCAUCGUGACCAGGUUCCUGAAGAUCAGACAGACGGGUUUACACACCGACUCCUCCAGGGACCUGAGACAGGUGAUCAGAGAGAGACAGACAGGUGAUCAGAGAGAGACAGAGUAAUGUAUUUAACUCUCAGAAAGACGUGUCUUUAUCAAACAGACAGAAUGUCUCCACAGAAACGCUCAGUACAUUUAGAACAAAGGGCCGACCUUUAACCACACUCAACAUUCUGAGUCAGUUCACAAAUAUUAACACUUUGAUCAGAUUAUGUGGGUUGUUAUAAAAUAAAGGUCUUACUCCUCAGUGAUCUCCUCUGGCAGAACGUCUCCUCUGAAAUGAUCUCUGAAAAGUUCAGCCAGACAUGAAGCCAUCGCCGACAUCUGCUCUGUGUCAAAGUCCUCCUGGAACCAAGAGAACAUCAGAGAACAUCAGAACAUUGGACGGAAGAGAACAUCAGAGAACACAUGGAAUACCUUAUGAGAGCGUCAUGCUUCUAUCUAGUCUGUAAUUUCAGUGUGAGAUGAAUAAAUUAGAGAACUCACCUCCAGGAUCAGAUCCACUAUCUCCUGCAUCACCUCACACUGAGUCUCUGCGUCACUGAGGACACACGUCACUUUUAUUAUCAUCAUCAUAACAUCAGAUAUGAACUGAUCAAUGAUCAAUAGAUCCACAGACUGUGACCUCUCACCUGGUCUUCUGCAGCUGCAGCACCUUUUCCUUCAUGGUGUCAUCUAACUGGUCCAACCAGGGUGUGAUGUCAGCAGGCUCUUCCAACACGGCCUCUUUGAUUGGAUGGAACCUGAACUCCCUUUUCUUUCCUACACAGCGAUUGGGCGACAGACGGAGUACUGAAUGAACAGGUGAACCACAGUUGAACUGGAUUAAACUCAUUCUCACUGGCUCCAUCCUCAUUAAACUGGUUUAUUCCACUUUCUUUAGGUUUUUUCCCAGUUCAAAGUCAUAAUUCAUCCAGUUUUAAAUAAUCCACAUCAAACUGGUUCACUUUGGUUUAAACUGUUGAAGAAUAAACUGGUUCACUCUGGUUUAGGCUGUUCCAGUUAAACUGGGUUUCUCCAAUCUAAACUAGAUUUCAAUUAUUUUUAAUUAUUAAAAAACGUUCCUAUUCUGGUUUCAACUGAUAUAAAACACAGUUUAAUCUGAUUUUUUUCAAUCUG